CCAUAGAUGUGGGUGAAACAUCAGCAGAGAAUACUUCGGGAACAUGGCCAUACAGCCUGGAAAACAUACAACAACCCUGUGAUUCUGGCCAUGAAAGCCUUCGAAAAUACAUACAACUCCUCUGUUGCAACAGCUGCACUGGCUGCCAACCCACAAUUGAAAAUUCUGGUUUUGACCUAUAAAGCCCUGUACUGCUUGGAUCCAGGUAUGCAUCUCUCUUUAUGAGCAUGUGAGAAUGCUACAAUCUUCUGAAAAGGACCUUCUCUGUGUCCUACCAUCCCCUCAAGCUUCUUUGGUGUGUACAAUGGAAAGGGCCUUUUCAAUGGCAGCUCCCAGGCUGUAGAACUCCCUCCCUAGAUGUCCUCAUCCCGGCUUGCCUUUCACGGGUAAGUGAAAAUAUAUAUCUGGCAUCAGGAAUUUGGGGAGUGAUGAGGGGCAGGCUGCUGGGGAUUUUGUGGAUGGGAUUUGUGAGGGGGAUAGGGUAUUUUAAUUUUUAAAUGAAAUUUUAUUUGUAUUUAACUCUUGCAUCCAAUACACAAAUAUUUAAUUGUUUUUAAAUAUCAAAUGUUUUAAAAUUUUAUUGUAUUGUAUUACGUCAUUGUUAGCUGCCUUGACUCCCUAUGAUUAGAAAGAUGGAAUAUAAAUAUAAAUAAAUAAAUGUUGAGAGGGGAUGGCUUUGGAUGAAUGUUGGACUUUGGAAGGUAAGUUUGGCAGAGUUGUAUGCUAGUUUUGUUUCAUCAUGAAACUAAGAAGAGCCCUGUCUCAUAUCCAACCUGGAAACCCUAUCUGAAGGGCCAUAGGUUGUUCAGUCCUGAUAUACAAGAACAAGGAUAUAUAUACAUACAGAUAUAUUGAGUGUGCAAAAUUGUAGUUUCUCCUCGUAAGUCAUAUCAAAUUCGUUAAAUUCAUGCAUACAAAUCGAUAUUAGAAACAUGCAGGAAAGAGGGGGAAUUUUAGAAUCAAAACACUCACCAAUAAUUUUUGUUAAGAUUUUGUAACAUUUGGAAGCCUCCCAAAGUCAGUUUAAUUUUCAGUAUAAGCUUUAAGCAACUUUUGUAACGCUAAGAGGACAUUAAGUGUUUUUAAAGCCAAAGCUACUUUUUUAGCUGAUCACUAUAAGGAAGGGCAGCUGGGGGCAGGACUAGCAGAAUUGGGUGGGAGACUGAGAACACAGCAUUCUGGGAAAUGCAGUUGGGAAGUCAAAGGCCCCCUGUGACAGAGAAUGCAAAAAGCCUUGCUCUAAACUACAUUUCCCAGAAAGCAGCGCUCAGCAUCAGAAAGUCCAAUGAGGGCUGCAGCAGCCAGCUGUUUAGAGUGAGUGUAAUAAUAAAUAAAAUCAUUGAAUCUGCAAAGAGGACUACAGUAAGACUAAAACAAUGUCAGUCUCAGAAUGAUCCAUGCUCCCCUGUGAAAUCACCUGACUGAAACCACAGCAAAUAGGGCGAGACUGGAGAUUCUGGAAUGACAUCGUAGGCAGAAAUGUAGCCUUGAAAGUUUGGCAAAAUGCAAUUAAAAACACACAUAAUUACUAGCGAAGUCACUUAGCAAGAGAAUGCGCACUGGCUCUGCUAUGGGAGCCCGCACUUGAUUUCCUAUGAAAAUUAAUCGGCUAUCAAACAAUCUUCAGCCGCUGAGGAUGAUUAUAAAAAAGGAAGAAAAUGCCCUUUGUGUAGGUGAAAUGUGUCGUGGACUGUCAUCGUAAUAUACCUCAGUGAAAUGAAGGUUAAUUCUGAUGUACAACCUGCAUGACAGUCAUUAUCAGUGAAUCAUGAAAAUAAAUUAAGCUACUGAAAUAGAUACGUUCUUCUCUCGUACACAGUGGGUAUUCUGUGAGGAAUGGACAGAUGAACUUUACGGAUUAUUAUUGGAAAAUAGUGUGGAAUUCAAUUAAUACACCUAAAGACACUUUUAUAGAGGGCAGUCAUAAUUUAAAUGACAGCAGGAAGUAAUUUUGCUGGAUAUAAGUCAAAUUUCCAGAAUUUCAUGUUCUACAUUAUUAAUUUUAAAAUAUCUUUUUAAAAAGGGGAGAAGGAGAAACUCUGCGCUGCUUCCUUAAAAAAGAGGAGACCCUUUUGUUCAAAGUUUCCUUAAACUGAAAUAAUUUUACAUAACUAUCCUGGCCUUUCCUUUACAAAAUUAAGUUUUCUUCCUCAUUGAGAAUUAGAAUGAACGGUGUAAUGUGUCCCUUAAAGAUUCCACAUGUGUGUGUGUGUGUGUGUUUUUGUGCUGUAUUUAAUGCCUCCAGGUUCCUUCCCGAUAAUGAAAUUGGUUCUCUAAAUUUGCUCUGAAAAGCAAAUAGAUGAUAAUUUUUUUAUGCGGAAAUUCGGGGAGGAAAAUAAAUUGAGGCACUAAGAAUAGAGUAAAUGGCAACCUUCAACAAGAAAGGUUAGAUUUAAUCCAAGCAGGCAUCUGACAAGCUGCUGUACACGUUGAAUCCAUAUCAGUGUGACCCUACCAUAGACCUCCUUUAUCCAUUAAUCUACACUUCUUUUAGCAGGGAGCGGAAUUAGCUCAGUGACAGGGCAUUGCCUGCUGAUUAGCGUACAUCAUUCUAUAGAGGAGGAAGAAAAGAAUCGCCCUCUUUCGUUUAACUCAAUUCUCCUACAAAAUGGUGCUAAUUCUCUCCCACUCCCCAUCCCUGUCCCUCCAAAGCAACAAGUUCAUAUUUGGGCCACAGCACUGUCUCUGUAUUUACAUCGUGGGGAACCGACUUGGCCUCUGCUAGCUUUCGGGAAAGUGGAUUUAAACCUUGGUGAAAGGAAACAUUAAGAAGACACAUCCCCCAAAUAUUUUACCUAAGAAGCAAGAUUUACCUAUCCCUUUAAAAAGAAAAAAGAAAAAGAAAGAAAGAAUCCUUUGAAUUCGACGGACAAGCUUAAGCUGUUAGUAUUAACAUUCUUGUGUUGUAAUCUUCCGAGGGGGGAAAAAUGUAUAUUUAUUAUGACACAGUGAAUGACAGUGGUUUAAAUUAUUCCUUAUUGUUUACUUCAAAGUGAGGUCAGGGAAAGGUUGAGAGCUUUUUAUUCUUCCUUCUCUUUUUAUUCCUUUUUUGUUUUUUGGCAAGACACGUUUGAAAAUAUUAUUGAGAAGCUUCAUUGGUGUGCUAGUUGGUUUUUUUUUUAUUAAAAAAAUGUUUUCAAAGUGUGCCAAGGACAAUAAAAACACUGGGAGAAAGAAAAAAAAAGGGGGGGGGAGGGUGACAGAAUUAAAAGUAACACCGAAUUGCAUGGUUCAGAUGAGAAUAUCUGUAAGGAGGAAAUAGGCAUACAGUAGAGUCUCACUUAUCCAACAUAAACGGGCCGGCAGAAUGUUGGAUAAGCGAAUAUGUUGGAUAAUAAGGAGGCAUUAAGGAAAAGCCUAUUAAACAUCAAAUUAGGUUAUGAUUUUACAAAUGAAGCACCAAAACAUCAUAUUAGAAAACAAAUUCGGCAGAAAAAGCAGUUUAAUGCACAGUAAUGUUAUGUUGUAAUUACUGUAUUUAUGA